ACAAAAGUCAUCAUCAGCCUAACCUAACACAAACACAGCCGCAGCAGAAGAUUGAAGAAGCAUGGAAGAAAAGAAGAGGAGUCUAAUUCUGGCGCAGGUUGUGGUGGGAGAAAAAAGAUCUGAUUAUUAUGUAUUUGAUCUGGAAGCUGAUGAAGUUUUGAAAACUGAAAUUCAAUCUUUGUUGGACCAAGGACAGGGGGACAUGGUGAAGUUGGGAGGAAUGAUGUAUAAUAUUGGCGGUCUAAGACGAAUAGAUGAAUGCCCUCCCCUUGAUGUUAUUCCUUGUGCUGAAGGAGAUCACCACGUCCACUUGGGAGUAUCUUGUUUAGACUUGAAGAAUUUUGAUGAUGCUCCUCUAUCCUCCAAUAAGUGGAGGUGGAAUGAUAUCCCUCCUAUGAAAGAAUUCCGCAUAUACCCGUCUUGUGCUUCCCUUGAUGGUAAAUUAUAUGCCUUUUAUUGUUUAUCAGCAAAGACCCAUAUUGGUGAAGUGUUUGACCCCAGCCUUGGACGCUGGGAACCCUUGCCUCCUCCACCAGAGGAAAUCCCUGCCGGUGGCUCUUUGCUCGUGUCUCCUCGGGUGAUUUCUGAUGAAAAGAGACAUCGCAUUCUUGUGCAUUUUGAUACUACUCAUUCCCUCUAUGCUUAUUAUCCUGAUUUCCAUUCAUGGGAUUGCCUUGUACAAUACUUUAGCCCGUGGUAUCCUGCUACCAUCGCUUUGGUUGAUGAUGUCCUUUUCUUCCAUAUAUAUGAGCGCCGUGAUUGCCUUGCUGCCUUUGAUUUGUUAAGCAAUUCAUGGUUAAAGGUUAAGUAUUCUUCCAACUUUCCUGCUUGGGAUAUGUCUUUUAAUGAAUGGCAGAACAUUCUUCAUUUGGGCGAUGGCAUCUUGUGCUUGGCCAACUCCUGUGCUUCUUUUAGUCCCCCCCCUGUCCACACUAAUAUUCGGUUUGUCAAAUUAAGACUUCAGCGGAUCUCUUCUCAACACCUGCUGCUCGUCACUUUCGUUUCUUCCCAAUGCUUUCGAUUUCAAGGCUACUUGAGAGCCAACAGCUUCUUCCUUCUUUAGGCGAGGAUUCUUCACUAUUAUAUGCUGCAAACUUCAACCGUUGCUGAAGGAGACUCUUCCGGACUAACUCGGCUGCAUGCGGGUUCAUAAUUAAUGGAGGCAUUAAGUGGUUACCAUAUGAAUAGGCCGCCCCCAUCCAAAAUCUAAAUCGUAUAUUGGGGUCCUCUGACAAGAGCUGAUAGACCAGGCUGGCAUUCCAGGAAGUCGAGUGCUGAUCUCAAGUACUCAUUUCCCAUCUUUGACAAUGCAGCGUGAAUUCUCUUUGCAGAGUUCACUAAAGGCUCUGAUAUAAUUUCACCUGCUGUGCCAACUGGGAUGGCUGUAAAGACUACAUUGCCUAGAUAGCCUGGAGGAAGUGGAGGGCUCAGUCUGAAUCAUCCAUCCGUGACCAUGUAAAGAUAUACACACACACACACACACACCGGGAUACAGAAGAGAAGAGGGGUUUUUAAUUAGUUUAUAUUAUUACAAUCCAGGUAGAUGCAAAUAGAGACGUUAGAAGCCACUCUGUCAAACAUACACCCGCCACGUCAGCUUUCCGUCCGGUCAAUCGGUCAAACUAACGGACAUGUCAUUAUCCCUUACUAAAGUGGUGCAAAAGUUAUCCGGAUACCAAAUCUUUCUUACAUCAAGAUAACGGCUCUCCCUUUAGUCGAAGUUACUGAUGCAUUGGUCUUUGAUGAUUUCUGCUUGCUUGCUUCUAAGCUAUAUGUUUUCCGAAUGAUGAUCCGUGGUUUGUAAUAUUGUGACUUUUUUUUUUUGUCAGACUUAUUGUGACUAUUUUAUUGUGACAAUUUUAUGUAACCUGCAUCUUUAAACAAUUUAUGCACCUUGGUCACUACGAUUAGGAGUAAUUUUACAUCA